GGAUGAUAAGCUGAAUAUGAGCCAGGAGUACCCUUGUUGCAAAGAAGGCUAACAGCAUAAUGGGCUGCACUGCUGAUGUGUUGCCUUUAGGUCAAGGGAAGUGAUUAUUCCCCUAUACUCAGCACUGGUGAGGCCACAUCUGGAGUGCUGUGUUCAGUUUUGGGCCACCCAUUACAGAAAGGAUGUGCACAUAGUGGUCCUGACGUGCAAAUCAGUCAUCCAACCUGGGUAUAGAGGCGAAAGACUAAUCCAACCAUCUAGUAGCUGGUUUCUUCCAAAGUUUCCCUCAGGAUAGCUGGCACUCAUCCAUCUCUGAAGUUUUAUCUUGUAAAGCAAAUGAUUAGAGGUCUUGGGGCUGAAACGAUCUCAACCUGUUCUCAAAGUUUAAAUGGUUAAGAAGCCCAGCUCACUGACGUUCAGCCGGACAUGGAAUGUGAGUGCGUAGUGGGCCACUUCUGGUAAGCAGAACUGGCUCUGUGGGAUGAACCGAAUGCUGGGUUAAGGUGCCUGGUGCUGAUGCUUAUCAGACCCCAGAAAAGGUGUUGGUUGAUAUAGAAAGCAGGACGGUGGCCAUGGAUGUUGGAAUCUGCUAAGGAGUGUGUAACAACUCACCUGCUGAAUCAACUAGCCCUGAAAAUGGAUGGUGCUGGAGCAUCGGGCCCAUACCCAGCCAUCACCAGAAAUGAGAUCUGCAGGGGCUAGGUGGCGAUGAGUAGGAGGGCCACUGCGGUGGGCCUUGAAGCCUAGGGCACGGGCCUGGGUGGAGCCACCACAGGUGCAGAU
rnacentral:ncRNA from 1 species